rnacentral:rRNA from 1 species
UACGUAGGGUGCGAGCGUUGUCCGGGAUUAUUGGGCGUAAAGAGCUCGUAGGCGGCUUGUCGCGUCGGAUGUGAAAGCCCGGGGCUUAACUCCGGGUCUGCAUUCGAUACGGGCAGGCUAGAGUGUGGUAGGGGAGAUCGGAAUUCCUGGUGUAGCGGUGAAAUGCGCAGAUAUCAGGAGGAACACCGGUGGCGAAGGCGGAUCUCUGGGCCAUUACUGACGCUGAGGAGCGAAAGCGUGGGGAGCGAACAGG